UUGGUAUCUAAUUGGAAUCCUCUACGGUACAAUUUUUAUAUCAUCAAAUUUUAAAUUAUUAUGAAUAGCCACCACGACAUCUAUCUCUGAGAUAGAUAGUUCUCAUUUAUUUUGAAAAUAUGUCUAAAUACUUUUUAGCAUGAAAAAUAUACAUGCAUGUUGUGGAAAUGAAGAAGAACCACCCGCGUAUCUCCGAGGUGGAUAACAUG
rnacentral:lncRNA from 1 species